UCCAAACCCCUCGUUUUUCAGACGAGGGACCUCUGGCUCAGAGAGGGUGAUUUCCCCAAGGUCACGGAAGAGGGAGGUGGCAGAGCCUCUUGGGAUUAGAACGUGGUCCCUGACCUUAAGAAACUCACAGUCUAAGUAAGGAGACCACGAGGGAACCUAAUUAAGAGAUCAAUCCGUUUCUCCCAUCUGAGGGACACAGCCCCUCGAGGAACUUCUGCAGGCUCCUUUUCUGGACUCAGUGAACUCCAACAGCCUUCUGGGUGGCAAGGGAAGCUCCCACCUCAAGCUCGGUGCAGUGGGUGAGCUGCAUCACGGGCACGGGGCCUCUAUGUGGGCCCCCAGUUCCGAAGAAUCUAGUGGGAAUGCCCUUUCCCCAACCCACUGGGCUCUCCUUCCAGAGACAGAUCGCCAUACCUCCUCCCUUGCUGCCUGAAGGCACAUUGCACUUUGUACGGGGGGUACAUUUUUCUCAGGAAGGAAAAGCCACGAGCGCAUUUUACACUGGGAUUGGAGUGGUGGUGAGAGCUCCAAAGCUUCUGACUCCAACGCCAUCGCCUUCAUUAAAAGCAAACAUUGUCACCCUCCCCAUCCUCCCCUCUCCUCUGCCAAGCCCUUCCCUCGGUGGAAAAGACGUGUGAAAAACGUGCCCCGAUUCCCCGCGGGGAGCCCAGCCGCCCCCUCCCUCACUCCCUCCUUCCCUCUCCCUGUCUGCACUGCGCCAGCCUUCGACAACAACAUCACACGGCUGCAGCCGAAGCAAGCCACUUCCCCAGACCAAGGAGACUAGGCAAGCCCUGCCUUUAGGAAUAAUGCAUCCAACAAGGGUCAGUGGGGAGCGGCUCGUCGGUCCGGGAGGAGGAGGAGGUAGAGGAGGAGGCCGGGGGCGGCGCCAUCGGCCCGCGGUAACGUAACAGUCGCCGCACGGAGGCGCUCUCGCUCCAGACUGACGAGCAGGCGGUGUAAGGGGGGGGGUGCAGAGGGGUGGAAUGGGGGGGGGGUUCGAUGGACGGGAGCCGCGAGGAACCAGAGGGUGGGGGUGGGGGUGCGGGAGCUGCUGCGGGCUCGGGUUUCGCGGGGUUCCCUGGAACAUGAAGCUCCGAUUGAGACUGUGAUGAAACCGUCUACUCCGGGUUCUAUCAGGCAGCUAGGCGGCCACGAUGAGCUGAGGCAACAGACUGCAGCAACGAUAGCAGCAGAAACGGGCGGGCGGGAGCAGGGCCCUCGCCUCUGGCUUUAUGUAGCAGCUGCGCGGCGGAUCCAACAGGUGGCUCCGUGGCGCAAUGGAUAGCGCAUUGGACUUCUAGAGGGUGAAGGGAUUCAAAGGUUCCGGGUUCGAGUCCCGGCGGAGUCGCAACCUUUUUUUUUUCCUUUUAGAUAAUUUUAUUUCCCCAUCUCCCCUACUUUUCCUCCCGCAGCGUGGUAGCCCUUUCGCCAGUCCACGCCGCGCUUGGCCUUUCGCCGCUCUCGGCCUGGCACCUCGGGCCUGCGCGCAACCAACCUGGACCCGAGACGGAGCUAGGAAGGAGGAGCCUGGAGGCUGCCGCCUGUGUCGGGCUCCUUCUAGCUGCUGCAAGCACAAGUCUUGGCCAACCUAAGGGAUGCUCAUUUUAGAGAUGAGUGGACCACAGCCCAGAGUGAUUACAAGCCCUUGGUCAAGCUAUAUCCUCUUCUCCAUAUUAGAGAUGAGCAAAGUGAGGCCUAAGAGAUUGCAAGCAUGAGUCCAAUCUACAUCUUCUCCCCCAUUUUUACCGAUAAGCAAACUGUUACAACCAUAGCAGCAAUUUACAUCCUCUCCCCUUUUACAGAUGAGCAAACUGAUGCUAAAGAAAUUACAAGCAUAGAACCAAUCUACAUCCUCUCCCCCUUUUACAGAUCAGUAAACUGAGACCUAGAGAGAGUAUGUGACUCCCAAGACCAUGCAGGCAGUGAAUGGGGCAGCCUUGAUCUUUAGAUUCUCUUCUUGGGACAGGCAGAUCCUUUGGUGUGGGCUACCCAUGGUGAUUAUGUGUGCUUGGCCCAAAUCCUAAAGGAGCUGCCCAGUAUGCCAGCAAUUGUCAAGGGUCUCCAGCCUCCCCUUUUCAUGGGCCUUGGAGAAUUGCCUUCUAAAAAGAGAAGGAAGGGAGAUCCUGGGUUCAAAUGUGGUCUCAGAUACUUCCUAGCUGUGUGACCCUAUGAAAGUCACUUAACCUUCAUUGCUUAGUCCUUCCUGCUCUUCUGCCUUAGAACCAAUACAUAAUAUUAAUUCUAAAGUGGAAGCUACUGGCUUUUUUUUAAGUGUAUACUCCACCUUGAAAAAAAAUGACUGCGCCAAACAAAAAGCUCUCAGCAAUCCUUGUAAAUUCUGGUGAUCUAAAGUAUCAGGAUGUAAGCUGUCACCUUUCCCCUAAACAUUAAAUCCAAUCAUCCAGACUUUUUCCAAGAGUAGAUGGUAAGAAAAUAGUCCAGACAAUUUUUUUCCAUUAAUUUCAGUACUGGAGAUGGAGAGACAUGAGAUGAUAGCUCCAUAGGUCAAAAGGGUGAAAGAUGUUUGCUUUUUUUAAGGCUGGCUACACCUGAAUGUAUCCUAGGCACAUGGGAAGGGAUCCGUGGUGAGGGAGAGAUGGAGGGGGACUUCUAGAGUCAGAUCUUGAAGGAGGCAGGAUGGAAUGAGAUCAGUAGUGAAGGUGGAGGGAUUAGCCUCCAUGAGGAUAAUGAACAGAAGGGAAGGAGAGAGCAAGUGGUGAUCCUGAAGUCUGAGGAGCCCCAGGAGUAAAAAUUUCAUGUAUCUGUUCCAAAAGACACAUUUUUAAAAGACCAAGAAGUUCAUUGCAUGCUCUUAAGAGGACUUGGAGAGGCAUUCCAAGCUUAUCAGUAGGCUUUAAAUUUCAAAACUUUUACAUGCCAGACUGUCCAGCCUAAAUCUGAUCACUGACAUUUCUGAUGGUCUGACUUCAAACUACCUUUCCAGACUCAUUUCACAUGACAGUUUGUCUCACAUUCUACAUUCCAGCCCAGUUAGUCUCAGUCUCCCACCUUCCACCUCCAGGCUUACCUUUGCCUUAGAAUUAUUAGCUACUUUUGAGCCUCAGGUGAUGUAUUCCCUCCUCCCUGAAACUUGGCUCCGUCUUCCUAGAUUUAGUCCUCUUUUCUUCCUCCUUAGACUGUCUUUGUUUCUUUUUAAAAAAAUUUUAACUCAAAGAUAUUCUAUUUUCCCAAUACAUGUCAUAACAAUUUUCAACAUACAUUUUUGAAAAUUAUAAGAUCUAAAUUCUCUUCCUUCUUCCCUUACCUCCCCCCCUCUCAGAGAUGGUAAGUAAUUUCAUGUGGAUUAUACAGGUACUAUUGUGCAAAACAUACUUCCAUAGUGGCCAUUGUUGUAAGAGAACACUCCUAUAAAAUCAAAACCCCCAAAUAAAACUAUAAAUAAACUAAUGUGAAGGAUGCUUUGAUCUGCAUCUGCCUCCAACAGUUCUCUCUCUGGAGGGAGAUAACAGUCUUUGUCAUAAGUCCUUCAGAAUUGUCCAAGAUCAUUGUAUUGCUGAGAGUGGCUAAGUCUUUUACAGUUGAUCAUGGUACAGAAUGGCUGUUAUGUUCUCCUGGUUCUGCUUAUUUCACUCUGCAACAGUUCAUAAAUGUCUUUCCAGUUCUUUCUGAAGUCAUCCUGUUCAUAUUCCUUACAGCACAUUAGUAUUCCAUCAUAUAGAAUGAUUUGUCAGCCAUUCCCCAAUUGAUGGACAUCCCCUCAAUUUCCAAUUUUUUUGCCACCAUAAAAAGAGCAGCUAUAAACAUUUUUACACAAGUUGGUCCCCCCCCUUUUUUUAUUAUCUCUUUGAGACACAGACCCAGUAGUGAUAUUACAGGAUCAAAGGGUGUCACAGUUUGACAACCCUUUGGGCAUAGUUCCUAAUUAGCUCCCAGAAUGGUUAGUUCAGUUCACAGAUUGUCCUUUGGUUCUCCCAUUAGUAUAAGCAUUCUUUUCCUCACUAGAUUCUAAAUUCUUUGAGGGGUAGAACUGUUUCAUUUUUGUCUUUGCUUUUUCAAGUCAAAUUAAACAAACAUUAAGCCCUAAUUAUGUGCCAGACAGUAUAUUAAGGGCAGGGAAUAUAAAUGCAAGCAGAAAGACUUUGCCCUUAAGGAGCUUCCAUUCUUUAUCAAAGGAAGCUGAAAGGGGUAGGGGUGGGAAAGAUGGAUACCUGAAGGAAUUCUAGAGUCAGGAGGGCAUCCUGAAGAGGAAUGAAGAUGUGGUUGGGCUAUUCAUGCUCCUUAAAAUAGAGAUUCAGGGAGGAAUCAUCCAACCAGUGGGAAGGGUUGCAUCAGUAAUAUAAAAGUCCAGCAGAAGCUAGGUGGCUCAGUAGGUAAAGAGUGAGGCCUAGAGAUGGGAAGUCCUGGGUUCAAGUUUGGAUUCAGCCAACUCCUAGUUAUGUGACCCUGCUCAAGUCACUUAAUCCCAACUGCCCAACCCUGACCACUCUUCUGCCUUGGAGCUGACACUCAGUGUUGAUUCUAAGUCAAAAGUAAGGAUUAAGAAAAAAAAAAGUACUCCAGAGAUGCAGUGAGCUUCUAGGUUUUGGAAGUCCUAUGGAGAGGGGGAAGCAGCUGGGUGGCUCAGUGGCUAUAAAGCCAGAUCUGGAGACAGGAAGACCUGGUUUCAAAUCUGGCCCCAGAUACUUCCUAGCUGUGUGACUCUGGGCAAGUCAUUUCACCCCCAUUGCCUUGCCCUUACUGCUCUUCGGCUUUGGGCCAUCAAGCCACAAUGUUUUGACAUGGUCACCUGUGGAAACCAGGAGGUCACAAAGUGGCUCCUAGGAAGGAUAGAGAUACCCACUCAGCCCCCCUCUGUGUGACUUUUCUCACUAACAUUCCUUACUAUUGGAAUAAUCACAGGAAUAUUGUUCUCUCCGUAGCUUCAGGAAAAAUAAUAUGAGAGCAAAAUACUUGCAGGAUUAAUACUAAUGUUCCACAUCAUCCCCCCAGAAUAUCACCAAAAGAUCACACAAAAUCAAACCAAAAAGACUCAUGGGUUGACUUCUAACAAUACUGUACUCAAAAUUCUCCACUCAAUGUACAGGCCUGGAACAAAUUCUCCUAAGCCAGUAUAUCCAUCACUCUAGUGAGAGGUUGGAACAUCAUGCCUCAGUGACUUGAUUUACCAACUGAAAUCCAUCUUGGAAACUCCCCAUGAAACACUAGAAAAAAUGAUUAGCCUCAUAUAAAAAAACAACUUGGCAGCAGUGUUUGGUUUUUGUAUCCUAGAAUUUCUGAUUAUUUUAUUAAAAGUAACAAAUGUUUUUCUUUGAUUGUCCACAAUCCAAAGCACCUCAUAGGUUAAUGAAAAACCUGACCUCUAGCUAGGCUGCCUAUGUAAUGAAAUCAUUUAUCUUUUGCAAAAGCUUUGGUAGGUUGUCAGAAUCAAUAGUAAUGAUAUAAGUAUAUAGAAUGAUCACAGAAUGUUAAUCAAAUGAUUUGUUAAAAGUUAAUGUAUCACUUAUCCAAUUAUCUGCAUUUGAACAUGCAUGUUGAAUAAUGUAGCUGUGUGCCAAGAAAGUAUGUAAUCAUUGGGUAUAAAAAUAAAGCCAACCCUGGGCCUAGUAAAGCAUUUCUGUGCAAAGCCUGGCCCAGGCUGACACUUCCAACUGUCUUCCAUCACUCAUUUACACCUUCGUUGCCAUACCUAGUCAAGGACCCCUGAAGCUGGUAGGACCCCGAGACCACGGCACUUUUCUCCCUUGGAACCAAUACACAGUAUUAAUUCUAAAAUGGAACUUAAGAGUUUAUAAAAAUUAAAAAAAAAAAGGUCUUAUGGAGAGGUGAACACAGGCCUGGGUACAUAACAGAUGCUUUAUAAAUUUUGGUUGAAUUUUUUUUUGAGUACUAUGGAAUAGUACUUCUAUAGAAGGUCUAGCCAAAUAGGAAUUCCAUGGAAUAAAAUUUCACAGGAAAAGUCAUUCCAGGAGAGCUGAGAGAUGUUCAAGAAGGAAAUUCACAGGACAAAAAAGAGAAAUCUGGAGAAAUAAUGGGAUUUGUCUGCCAAGACCUUCAUGAAUGUAUGGAGAACUUAACUUUUAAGGCUGGGUCUGGCUCAGGUUAUCUCUGAUUAGUUAUUGGAUGGAAUGAGACAUUCAGAUCAUUCAACAGUUAACAAAAGGAGGUUGCCUUAACCAUCCCUGGAAGGAAUGUUCAUCAGAGGCAUUCUAGCACUCACCUUGGCUAAAACACAACCCCUCUCAUCUUCAUUGGGAAACCAAUCUGGUCAACAGGGCAAGAUGGGGCAAUAUACUUGGCCUUGGGAUGGAGCCUUUUUUUAUGCCCUUAGCUGACUAGGAAGCCCCAACAGUAUAGUCAAAGGCUACCAGAGAAGCUGUGUUGAGUAGGAAGAAUUCAAAACUUGGUCCCUGGGCCAAUCUAGUCCUGGGGACAGCGUUUUCAUCUUCCAGAGGAAAAACUAACCUAACCCAGGUUUCCCAGGAAGAUGGUGUUCUACCCCAUCAUCCAACUUGGAUUUAACAAGGAAGCAUAUAGAAGAUUGAAGCAAGAUCAGGUAAUAGUGGAAGGAUAUAAGAGCAUGUCAUGGUUCUAUAAAAAUAGUGCCUAGAGAACCAAAGCUUAGAACGUGCUGAGGUUGAUAAGGUAAGCUAAGAACACUUUUUCUUCUCCCAAAGCUAAAUUGGGAAGGAAAGGAACAAAGAAUUAGUGGGAGCUUGUUUUCAAGUAGGGGGACCUGACAACCAGCAACAGAGUCAGGCAGAAUGCUGAAUUCCUGUUUUCUCUAUCCAAAGAACGGAUGGCUUUCACACUGGAAAUGAAACAAAAAUGGAGAACAGGGAAUGGAUACCCAAGAGAAGUAAAGAGGAAGUAAAAGAUAGCUUCAAGUCACUUGAGCCAAUUAAACACUAUUCUUGGGUCCUGAAAGGACUGGAAGCUGUGCUUGCCAACAAUGCAUGCCUCAUUCUCCACCUUUGGUCCUCUAUUUCUCUACUGGGAGAAGGGAGUUGUUUAUAUUGCUCUCCAUUGGAUUUGUAACUGUAGCAUUCCAAGCAUAUUCACAUCUAAGAAAUAUAAAUGAUGUAUGGAUAUUGGAUUUUCUCUCUUGGAUUUUUCAUUCUCACACUUGAUACUUUUAUCCUAUUUUCUAUCUAGGAACUCUUGUUUCCACGUGUUCCAUUACUUCUCACAUUUUCCUUUAAUUAUUUUUCUAAGGAGAAUGUCAUCAGGGACCAAGGCCAUCCAUUACUAAAAAUGGACUUGCCUGUGUCUAUUUAUCACCCAUUUUCUCAGACUCCUUGCUCCUUCUCAAGCCCAAACCCACUAAGGAAAAUUCUUUUUUAUAUCAGCCGCUGGACGUCUGUUAUAGUAACUGAAAUUAAAAGUGUUUGGAUUUUCACGUGACUCUCAGGAUUGCAUGAUCUCAGAAUUAGAAGAGACCUCAGAGAAUGUCAACGUUAUCAGAAAUAUUUAAAAGAUUGUGGAAGAUAAGACCUCUCUCUCACACAAUUGCAGAAAGGCAAAUGUUCUGAUUUUCAACUAAGAGAAACAGAACAGAGUCUACAAAUUAAAUCAAUGACCUCAAUUUCCAUUCCUAGAGAAAUUCUAGAAUGAAGAUGGCUGAUGGAUAUCUAGAUAAGGGGUCAAAAAGGUUGCAAGAUUUCAUCAAGAACAGAUUAUGUUAAACUAAUUUUUUAAAACCCUUCUUGUCUGUCUUAGAAUCAGUACUAAGUAUUGAUUCCAAAGCAGAAGAGCCUAAGGUUAAGUGACUUGCCAAGGGUCAUAUAUCCAUGAAAUACCUGAGGUGAGAUUUGAAACCAGGUCCUGCAGACUCCAGGCCUUGGGCUGAAUCCACUGUGCUACUUAACUACUCCCCAGAUUAAAAUUUUAAUAGGGUUAUUAACCUUAUAGGAGCUUAAUAAAUGCUUGUUGAUGGAUUGAAUUGAUUAAUUCUCAUAUAGCAUUUAAUCAAAUAGUUUCCCAUUUGUAAUACUCUCCAGUUUAUCAAUGCCUUUCUUGACAAGUCCUUUCCAGAACUGAACUCAAUGCGAUCUGACCAGAACAAAGCACAAUGAGAUUAUCAUCUCCUUAUUCCCGAAAAUUUUUCCUUUCUUAAUGAAGCCUAAGAUCACAUUAGCAUUGUGGGCUGCUAUGUUACACUAUUGACUGAUAGUGUAUGCAGUUCUCUAAAAUAUAGAGAUCUUUUCCAGGGAGGUUCUUACCUAGCUAUGCCUCUCCAUUCAGCUAGACAUUGAAGUGGACAGAACCUUGAGCUCCAAGGCAAGAAGAUGAAUUCAGAUUCAGUUUCAGACAUUGACUAGCUGGGCAAAUCACUUAAUCUCUGUUUGCUUCACUUUCUUCAUCUGUAAAAUGGGAAUGAUAAUAGCACCUAUCUUCUAGGGUGGUUCGGGGAAUCAAAUAGGAUAUCUGGAAAGCAUUUAGCACAAUUCCUGGAAUAUUGUAGGUGCUUUAAUAAAUCCUUGUUCUUGAUCCAAUCAUUGUGGAAGGCAAUUUGGAGUUAUGCCCAAAAGGCUAUAAAAGAAUGCGUGCCUUUUGAUCUAAUAAUACCACUGCUAGGACUGUAUCCCAAAGAGAUUUUUUUUUUUUAAAUGGGAAAGGGUCUGUUUGUACAAAAAUACUUAUAGCUGCUCUUUUUGUGGUGGCCAAGAAUUGGAGACUAAAGCAAUGUCCCUCACUUGGGGAAUGAUUGAACAAAUUGUGGCAUAUGAUGGUGACAGAACACUAUUGUAUUGUAUGAUGAACAGGAUGAUUUCAGAGAGAACUGGAAAGGCCUACAUGAACUGAUACAGAGUGAAAUAAGCAGAACCAGGAAAACAUUGUACACAGUAACUGAAACACUGUGGGCUGAUCAAAUGUGAUAGACUCUACUACUAACAGCAAUACCUGAGGGACUUAGGACAAAGAAUGCUAUUCAUCUCCAGAGAAAGAACUGUUGGAGUAGAAAUGCAGAUGAAAGCAUAUGAUUUAUCAUUUGUGUAUAUGGGUAUAUGUUUAGGGGUUUGAGUUUUAUAAGAUUAUUCACUUACAAAAAUAAAUAAUAUGGAAAUAAUCCUUUUUCUCUUGUGAAGUUUGCUUGUUUGUUUUUUAAUCCAAGUGUAAGACUUUAUUAAAGCCUUAAAGACAUUUAAUUCCUCUUAUUAGUUUUGGCUCACUGCUCUAGGUCCUUUGGAAGUUUCAACUUUAUUAUUCAAAGCAUCAUUCUUCUCAGCUUUUUUGUCAUCUGAAGAUUUCAUAAAUAUUCAAUCUUUGCCGUUAUCCAAGCCAUUGUUAUAAAUGGUACAAGAUAAAGGACAGUUCCCUGGGGCAUCCUACUGGAAAUUUUUUCUCUAUACUUAUCCUUGUUAUAUCCUUUCAUCACUGGUUUGUAUUGAAAUUAAUAAAUUGUAGUUCAUGGAAUACAA